rnacentral:rRNA from 1 species
UACGUAGGGACCAAGCGUUGUUCGGAUUUACUGGGCGUAAAGGGCGCGUAGGCGGCAAUUCAAGUCAUCUGUGAAAUCUCCGGGCUUAACUCGGAAUGGUCAGGUGAUACUGCUUUGCUAGAGUGCAGAAGGGGCAAUCGGAAUUCUUGGUGUAGCGGUGAAAUGCGUAGAUAUCAAGAGGAACACCUGAGGUGAAGACGGGUUGCUGGGCUGACACUGACGCUGAGGCGCGACAGCGUGGGGAGCAAACAGG